GACGAACGCUGGCGGCGUGCCUAAUACAUGCAAGUAGAACGCUGAAGGAGGAGCCUGCUCUUCUGGAUGAGUUGCGAACGGGUGAGUAACGCGUAUGUAACCUGCCUGGUAGCGGGGGAUAACUAUUGGAAACGAUAGCUAAUACCGCAUAACAGUAGAUGUUGCAUGACAUUUACUUAAAAGGUGCAAUUGCAUCACUACCAGAUGGACCUGCGUCGGAUUAGCUAGUUGGUGGGGUAACGGCUCACCAAAGCGACGAUACAUAGUCGACCUUGGAGGGUGGUCCGGCAAAAUGGGAAUGGGGCAAGGCCCAGGCUUCUACGGGGAGCAACAAGUGGGGAACUUUGGCAAAUGGGGGAAAGCUGGACGAAGAAAGCCCGGGUGGGGGAGGAAGUUUUCCGGUCGGUAAACUCUGUUGUUUGGGAAGGAAGAGUGGGAGAGUGAAAAGUUCACACUGUGACGGUAUCUAACCAGAAAGCGACGGCUAACUACGUG
rnacentral:rRNA from 1 species